CCUACGGGAGGCAGCAGUGGGGAAUAUUGGACAAUGGGCGAAAGCCUGAUCCAGCAAUGCCGCGUGAGUGAUGAAGGCCUUAGGGUUGUAAAGCUCUUUUACCAGGGAUGAUAAUGACAGUACCUGGAGAAUAAGCUCCGGCUAACUCCGUGCCAGCAGCCGCGGUAAUACGGAGGGAGCUAGCGUUGUUCGGAAUUACUGGGCGUAAAGCGUACGUAGGCGGUUAUUCAAGUCAGAGGUGAAAGCCUGGAGCUCAACUCCAGAACUGCCUUUGAAACUAGAUAGCUAGAAUCUUGGAGAGGUGAGUGGAAUUCCGAGUGUAGAGGUGAAAUUCGUAGAUAUUCGGAAGAACACCAGUGGCGAAGGCGACUCACUGGACAAGUAUUGACGCUGAGGUACGAAAGCGUGGGGAGCAAACAGGAUUAGAUACCCUGGUAGUCCACGCCGUAAACGAUGAUAACUAGCUGUUCGGGCUCUACGAGCUUGUGUGGCGCAGCUACGACAUUAAGUUAGUCCGUCCGUCGGGAGGUACGGUCGCGAGAGUAAACGUACGUAAGUUAAGUUAGUACGGCGUUGAGACGNGCCGACGGACGACGACGAGGGAGGAGG
rnacentral:rRNA from 1 species